rnacentral:piRNA from 1 species
GAAUGUCUCAUUGUGGGUUGCUACCAUUA